rnacentral:lncRNA from 1 species
CAAGCUUUGAUCAAGGUUAUAUAACUUUGUGCUGGUUUGUGCUUAGAAGCCUCAUUUCCCCUUUGCCACUCACCCCCAAAACUUAGGGCAGAAGACCGUAUAGUGCCUGGGGUUUACAUUAGUACAAAAUCACUUUCAUUCAGGAUAAAGUUCUGUAUCCAUAAACAUGCCUUUACAUGACACCGGGCAUACACGACAUGGGACCUGAAGAAAAGGACAAGGCACUGAAUAAUUUUUAUUUAUUUAUUUCUUUAUUUACUUAUUCAUCACGUAUGUAGUGACUGAGAAUUUGCCAAUUACCAGGAACUGCCCUAGACGUUUAACACUUUUAUGUGAGCCUUAAAAGAUAGACGCGUUCAUGUCCUUUGCCUACUUUUUAAU